rnacentral:rRNA from 1 species
UACGUAGGUGGCGAGCGUUGUCCGGAUUUACUGGGCGUAAAGAGCGCGCAGGCGGUCGUACAAGUCGCGUGUGAAAGCCCCCCGGCUCAACUGGGGAGGGUCACGCGAUACUGUUCGACUCGAAGGCAGGAGAGGGAAGCGGAAUUCCUGGUGUAGCGGUGAAAUGCGCAGAUAUCAGGAAGAACACCCGUGGCGAAGGCGGCUCUCUGGGACGGUACUGACGCUGAGACGCGAAAAGCGUGGGGAGCGAACAGG